AGUUUGUGAGGAGCGUUCGGC
rnacentral:miRNA from 1 species